GAUGGGAAGGAGUAUAGAGCUGAUAGCACGGAGUGUGGGACUAAUAGCAUGGACUGUGGAUCUAAGCAUGGAGUUCUCCCAUCUCUACUGAGAACUUCUGAAGCUCUUUUAGAGUGGUCAUAGGGUUCUUGUUCAUUUCACCACAGGUGGACUCCAGUCAAGUUCUAGAGACAGCUCAAGAUAAUAAAAAUAAACAGAUGUACCUUUGUUCAGUUUGGAGUAGCUAAGGAUCUGGCUACUUAGAUUGGCACCCUGUCCAGGGUGUAUCCCACCUCAUGCCUGAUGCUCCCUGGGAUAGGCUCCAGGUUCCCCCGUGACCCUGAAAAGUAUAAGCGGUAUAGAAGAUGGAUGGAUGUUACAUUGCAUGAGAAGUCAAAAAGAUGCAGUUAAGGAAGGAGGAGAGAGCACAUGUUAGCAUAUGUCAGCACGUGUCACCCUCUGCGGUUGGCAUAUGAUAAGGGAGAGCUGGCUGACGAUGCAAGCGGCUCGAUGCCCUACUGAUGAGCUGUCAUUAACAAACUGCGCAGUGGUGAGUGAGAAGGACCUGCAGUCUGGACAGCAUGUGAGUGUUAAAACCACUCCAAACCACAAGUUUGUGUUCACAGUGAAGAGUCAUCACACGGUAACACCUGGAACUGUAGCAUUCAGCUUACCACAGAGGAAAUGGGCCGGACUCUCUAUUGGACAGGAAGUGGAAGUAACAAACUAUAAUUUUGACAAAUCAAAGCAGUGUAUCGGUGCAAUGAUGAUCGAGAUCGACUUCCUGCAGAAGAAAAGCACUGACACAUCCCCAUAUGAUUCUGAUAAAAUGGCGAGUGAAUUCAUUCAGCAGUUCAAUAACCAGGCCUUCACCGUGGGACAGCAGUUGGUGUUCAGUUUCUGUGAUAAACUUUUUGGCCUGGCAGUGAAGAAUAUUGAGGCAAUGGAUGCGAGCAUACUGAAGGGAGAGACAGCGACUGGAAAAAAACAAAAGAUUGAGAUUGGUCUGUUGGUGGGUAACAGUCAGGUGAUCUUUGAGAAAGCCGAAAGUUCCUCCCUUACACUUGUUGGAAAGGCCAAAACCAAAGAAGCACGUCAGACAAUUAUUAAUCCGGACUGGAACUUUGAGCGCAUGGGCAUCGGCGGCCUGGAUAAAGAGUUUUCAGACAUCUUCCGGAGAGCAUUCGCCUCACGAGUCUUUCCUCCUGACAUAGUGGAACAGAUGGGAUGUAAGCAUGUUAAAGGUAUUCUCCUCUUCGGUCCUCCUGGUUGUGGUAAGACUCUGAUGGCGAGACAGGUCGGUAAGAUGUUGAACGCCCGUGAGCCGAAAGUCGUAAACGGACCAGAGAUUCUCAAUAAGUAUGUCGGAGAGUCUGAGGCCAACAUCAGGAAACUGUUCGCCGAUGCUGAGGAGGAGCAGAAGAGGUUGGGUGCUAACAGCGGGCUGCACAUUAUCAUUUUUGAUGAGUUGGAUGCCAUCUGUAAGCAGCGUGGUACAGCAGCAAGCAGCACCGGAGUCCAUGACACUGUGGUCAAUCAGCUGCUAUCCAAAAUUGACGGUGUGGAGCAACUCAACAAUAUCCUUGUUAUAGGAAUGACUAACAGACCCGAUCUAAUAGACGAUGCUUUGAUGAGACCCGGCAGGUUUGAAGUGAAAAUGGAGAUCGGUCUGCCGGAUGAGAAGGGUCGCCUCCAGAUCCUCAGCAUUCACACGGCUAAAAUGCGUGAGUUUAACCUGCUAGCGUCGGAUGUGGACCUGAAGGAACUGUCAAUUGAAACAAAGAACUACAGUGGUGCUGAACUGGAGGGAUUAGUGAGAGCUGCACAAUCAACCGCCAUGAACCGACACAUCAAGGCCACAGCCACAGUGGAAGUAGACCUGGAGAAAGCUGAGAAACUGCAGGUGUGCAGAGCUGAUUUUAUGGGAUCGCUAAACAAUGACAUCAAACCUGCGUUUGGUACGAAUCAGGAGGAUUAUGCGAGCUACAUUAUGAACGGCAUUAUUAAAUGGGGCGAUCCAGUGAGUCAUGUGCUGGAUGAUGGAGAGCUGCUUGUUCAACAAACCAAAAACAGCGACAGAACUCCGCUGGUAUCCGUGCUGGUUGAAGGUCCUUCUCACAGCGGGAAAACAGCGUUAGCUGCUAAAAUCGCAGAAGAUUCAGAGUUUCCUUUCAUUAAGAUCUGCAGCCCUGAUAAAAUGAUUGGCUUCUCUGAGAUUUCAAAAUGCCAAGCCAUCAAAAAGAUUUUUGAUGAUGCUUAUAAGUCCCAGCUCAGCUGUGUGGUGGUGGACGACAUUGAGCGCCUGCUGGAUUACGUUCCCAUUGGCCCAAGAUUCUCUAACCUCGUCCUCCAAGCACUGCUGGUUUUACUGAAGAAAGCACCACCUCAUGGCCGUAAGCUGCUCAUCAUCGGCACCACAAGUCGUAAAGACGUCCUGCAGGAGAUGGGGAUGCUCGACGCCUUCAGCACUACCAUACACAUCCCCAACAUCAGCAGCGGAGAGCACCUGGUGGAGGCGCUAGAGCUGUUGGGCAGCUUCACGGAUGCAGAAAGAGCAACUAUCGCCCAGCAGGUAAAGGGAAAGAGAGUGUGGAUUGGAAUUAAGAAACUCCUCAUGCUCAUCGAGAUGUCCCUGCAGAUGGAUCAGGAGUAUCGUGUCAGCAAAUUCCUCUCUCUGCUGCGGGAUGAGGGAGCGUUGGAUGAGAGCAGUCACAUCCUAAUUUAACAUCUCCAUGCCUACUGAGGCCCAUGUUGCACAGCAGAGGUAUUCAAACUGUGGGACGUGCAGGAAAAAAGAAACCAGCAGAUGAGCCAGUUGACAUUUGUGCAGGCAUUUUGAACUUGCUGAUUUAGAGUGGUCCAGGAAUGAGUCCUAACACCCGGAAAUGAGUUAGCAUUUUAGCACUUCCAGUUCCAUCGUCCCGAAGUCAGUGGGUUUUUUUUAAUGGGUUUUUGGUUAAAUGCCUGAAAUAAGGUCUGUGGUUAAUACAAGCUCAAGAUAUUUUCACGUUUUAUUCUACGACAUCAAAUACAUCAGUAAUACCCGACUUGUGAUUUUUUUAAAGCUUAUACGUGUUUUGAAAAAGACGGUUGCUAACAAGAGGCUAAAUGGGACUACAGAGGUUGACGGGAAAAUUAAACAUCAUCAUGCGGAAGAGGAAAACUCAUCUACUACAUCCUCGUCGUGUUAAUACUCACACGUUUUUUUUUUGCGUUUUUUCCAUUUAUUUUACCAUUUUUUUCACCAUUGCAUAAAUUAAAUAGUCAAAAUGUGCUUUUUACUAUUUUGUCUUGCUUUUCAAAGAAAAAAAAUCAAUUACAAAAACUACAAUUUCAAAAUAUUUAUUUAACACUGAACAUUUUUUUUCAUUCCAGCAGGCAUAGGCUACCAACAAGGCACAAUAUAACUUUAAAUAAAUAAAUGAGUAAAAUAAAAAUAUUUUGAUGUGGUCAUCUUUGAGCCCCCCUUGAAUAGCCUAUGUUAGGCAUAUAACUGACUGCUUAAAGAAUGUAACACUCUGUAGCCUACAACUAAAAAGUGCAUUAUAAAGUGCAUUGACAAGAGUGCAAAAAAUGGUUCUAUUGGGUUCUAUAUGGCUGAUUAUAUUCGGCAUAUAUACCGCUCGCGUCCCUGUACACCUUGUGGAGUAUUAUAGUAGAUAUAGUAAAGUUAGAUACCUUGUUAAUGUUCUGUUCCCUUAAAUAAAUACGUCUUUACCUGCUUCCGUACUCUACUCCCUUACGUCUCGCGACGUGACAGAAUACUCUGGAACAGAAACAAAACAAAUGCACGUGUCCACAGUAAACAAUGUCACGGUUGUCAACAUCCGAAGAGCAUGCACUCGUGCACGUAGCUCGUCUAUGCGCACGCCCCCUCAUCGCUCCAAGUGCGCUGCCAGAAGUGCAGGUCGUGAAAUUCGCGCAUCUCACUCUGGUUGCUAGGCUAUGUGGCACGUCAUCAAACACGUCAUUGUUCGGUCAAAUUUAUUCGGCCGAACACUGAAAGUGCUUUUUUUGCUAUUUUCGGCCGAAUAAUUUCGGUUGCCGAACAUUCAGUGCAUCCCUAAUAUUUAACAUUGUGGGAUGACUACGCAGAUCUGGGCCAAGACGCAUCCUGUGACGUCAUCACAACACGAAUUCAGCCAAAGCCCCCUUGGAUUCACGUGUAUCGAACAUGAGUACAGCUAAAAAGAUCACGGCUUCUAAGAGGAAAGAGUGAAGCUCCGACUCACACCUCAUCAUUCUGUACCCUUCGUCGUAACCCCCUCACACACACACACACCACAGUGUGUGUAGUGUCUUGUGCUUUGUGAGCUACUGUUCUGGAUAUUUAAUAAAUACAGUAUAUAAAGAUGUACAAACUCAUCACUAUACACACUAUUCUGUAUUGUGCAUGUGUGUGUGAAUGUGUCAUAUAUUUAGAGCUUCUAUAUCAUGCAGGUGGGUGAUAUGUGAGUGAAAUCUUGAAAUCUAAGUGCGUAGUUGUGUUGUAACACACACUGAUGAUGUUACAUUGAUGACUGAGUUUUGGUGUACAUUUACACUGUGCUCUGUGUGUGCGUUUGUGUGUGUGUGUGUGUGUGUGUGUGUGUGUGUGUGUGUGUUAGAGCUUUAAUCAGGACUGAAAUGUUGAUCGUGAUAACGUUCUAUCCGACCUGACCUGGCCCACCACACCAGACACUAAGAGAUCACCAGAGAUCUAGAUUUUAAAAUCCAAAGCUAGUGUUACAGGAGCACCUCUUAGCACUGGUUAGCAGAUCUUUACAGACUCUUUCUUGUCAUCUUUUACCACUCAUCCCCUUGUUCAUACAUAUGAAAUGAUUGUUAAACGUACACCUAAAAAAAAACUUUUUUAACUGCUUUAAAAGUUACAAGAGUCACAGAUGUUCACUUAUGCUUUUAUUGUCUGUUAUAUGUGCUAAGCUAGCUAAUUUAAUAAUUAGGUGUUAGCUAGCUAGCUGAUUCUCUCUGCAAAGUUUAGCUGGCGAUGUUAGUGCGCUAGAGUUGCCUGUUUUAUGUGAUGAGGUUAAUUAGUCUCAGCUCUCUAAACCGCCAUGCAACUGAGUAACUGUGUACACAAUGUCGAUGUGGAGCGCUAGAGCUCAUUUGUAGUUAGACUAGUCUGCUAACUUUUAAACAACAUUGUCAACCCUCGCACAUGAACACUACAGAACACUGAGUUCAGGGGUUUUCAUUUAAAUGCAUGAUUUAAACUUGUGCUGUGUGAGCUUUAUUAUGGAGCAAACUAAUGGCUGUAAGGGACAAAAUGCAAGUCAAAACCUGUUAAAUGUGUGUGUGUGUGUGUGUGUGUGUGCGUGUUUAGGUGGUGGGAUGGAAAACUUUCAAAAAGAGAAGUAUUUGACAAACGAAUGGUUCAGUCAGCCAGCUCAAGCUUUAGUGUGUGUGUAUGUGUGUGUGAGUGCGUGUGUCCUGAAGCCAGUGUUUAUAUCACCCGAGUAUUUUGAUGUGUAUAAAAUGAACAAUCUGAAAUAUAUCUCUCUCCCUGUCUUGCUCUAGUGUCUCUCACUUUCUAAAUCCACCAUGUAUGUGUGUGAGAGAGUGAGAUUGUAAUGUUGUUUGGUGUGCAUUAAAUAUUGUUUAGUAAUGAUCAAUGAUGACUUAUUUAUUUGGCUUGUGUACUGCUCAGUGAUUAGUGCUUGAUGUUCACAGAUGUGAUGUCAUGAAUAUUAAUAUUGUGUUACUGCAAUAAACACACACAGACAGAAA